AGCGUAGGCGGAUUGGUAAGUUAGGAGUGUAAUCCAUAGGCUUAACCUGUGGCUUGCUUUUAAUACUGCCGGUCUUGAGUAUGGGAGAGGAUGAUGGAAUUCCAGGUGUAGCGGUGGAAUGCGUAGAGAUCUGGAAGAACACCAGUUGCGUAGGCGGUCAUCUGGCCCAAUACUGACGCUGAGGCUCGAAAGCUAGGGGGAGCAAACAGGAUUAGAUACCCUGGUAGUCCUAGCCGUAAACGAUGGAUACUAGAUGUUGGAGGGGUUAUCCCUUCAGUGUCGUAGCUAACGUGUUAAGUAUCCCGCCUGGGGAGUACGCUCGCAAGAGUGAA
rnacentral:rRNA from 1 species